UGAGUGUUAUGAUGAUGGAAUUAUUUUUAUUCUUAGUCUAGCUCUGGUCUCCCAUUAGGCUUUUGCCUAGUGGG
rfam:Streptococcus macacae NCTC 11558 final_molecule, whole genome shotgun sequence.